AAAAUCAUACUAAUUUGUAGUUGAUCUCAAGAGAAAGUAGAAACUUGGACCCUUGUGAUUAUUAGACCAAGUAAAACGAAGUUACCGUAGAUGCCUGGCAAGCCAUAAUGAGUGUAGGAGGAAGCCGCCACUGGAUCUCUAAUAUCCUCCCAAUAUGGACGGCUUCCUUCAUCUGUCUUCGGUUAAUUCCUUUUGGACCCCAUUAUGUUUUUUUAGACAUGACAAAAAGGAAAGAAAAAUUUUCUGAUUCUGUAUAGUGGUGGUUUUCAGAAAUUUUUUUUUGCAGAAUACUUUUCACUAACUUGUUUGGUUGACGGCUUUUUGAAUUUAUUUGAUUAGUUUUUUUUUUCCUGGUAAAGUAGUCCUUUUUUAGAUAACAUUAAAAAGAUAUUCAAAUUCUCAAAAACAUUUCUACUAACUACCAAUGAGAUGCGGAAAUAACAAGUAAAUAAAAUUUGUGGGAAGUGUUAUGCAAAAGAGAUGGUGAAAACAUUUCCAAGACUGGGCCUUGUUUUGGAGUUGCUUUACUUUUCCAGUAAAAUUGUUUAGUACUCUUUUUAACAAAAACUAGCAAAGGUGGAGGCUUUGUGAUGGACUUCUCAAUCUUCCCAAGGUUCACUGGGUGGGACCCAUGGCCAACCACAAAAGCAUCAUCAGGUUUCAGUAGUCAAUCGACUCACACAGGAAAGUUCUUUAAAAACCCGGGGCUUAGCUUUAUCUAUCGCUAUUUUUAUUGUUGUGGGCAUCCAUCUCUAUUUUGAUUGUUAUACUACUCGUUGAUCAUAUAUAUAUAUAUUGUUGUUGUGCAUACAUUGAGGGGGAGCAUAUACAUAGAGGGAGCAUUUGUUCAGUUUUUACUUAUCAUUGUUUUUAAAAAUCAUAUUUUGUGUCAUUAUCAAAACGGGGGAGAUUGUUGGAAAUAACUUAUUUUUUUAUUAUAUUUUAUAACAAAAUUGAUUUCUUUAAAAGCCUUGUUAAAUAUGACUUAUUGAAAUUGAUAAAAUCUUGAUAUAUGAUCAGCGAUCAAAAUUCAUUUUCUUAUACUAUUUCGUUUCGAACUACUUUAUAAAAUUUCGUUUUGCUAGAUGAACCAUUGGCCCAAAACAUUAUUUAAAUACUGUGGCUCAAAAUUGAUUAGAGCCCAAUAGAAGUCUGGCAUAAAGUAACCUUUAGCCAAAAUGGUUUGUAGCCCAUAGCAUGCUGGCCCAUUUCUUGACCUAGCAAAGUUGUCGUUCAGAUGAUUUUUUGUUCCGCUAUUGUUGACCUUCAAGCUUUGCAGUUACGAAUCUUACGAUCUAAAUGUUCAGGCUAUUACCUGAAGCUUCACCAGAAGAGAAGCUCACCAAAGAUCCCACAUUCUGCAAUACUCCGAGAGGCACUUGUAAUAUGAGUUUGGUGAAAAACUUACAGCGGUUCGACAAACUCCUCGGGAAAGUUAGCAAAGCAGUUCGGUAGGCUCCUCGGGAAAGCUACCUUUGUAAAGGUUUGGAUCGGCACCAGAAGCUGACCAUUUGAGUUAGUGGAAAUGACUCUAGGGCAGUGGACGAGGCUGGACAGUGGGCGCUUAACCACUAUACAUCGUCUGCACUCUCUCUCCCUUAUCUCUUUACUUACUUGCCCUUUAUAUUGUAUUUAAUUUGUGCAUUUACUAUACAUAGUUUAAUUAUACUAACUAAAUUAGCUUUAUUCCACAAUUAUUUGUUAAUUACCCAAUCCACCUCCCUCUUGGAUUGCCACCUGGGUAACAAUUGGUAUUAGAGCCUGGCUCUUAUGUUUGACUUCACAGUCUUAGAGUAAAUCUAUGGCAACCAUCGUUAUCACAUCCAUGGCCGAAGGUCAAUCGAUCACCAGGACUCCUUUAUUUUCUGGGCAUAAUUAUAAUUAUUGGAAAAUUAGAAUGAUGAUUUUUAUCCAAUCUAUGAAAUAUGAUCUUUGGUCUAUUAUUUGUAACAGUCCCAUAUUACCUACUAAAAAAAAGUAGAAAAAGUAUUAGUUCCUAAGUUCGAGGCUGAAUGGAACGAUACUGAUAAAAGGAUGUUGCAAUUGAAUGCUAAGGCUAAGCAUACUUUAUACUGUUCGUUAUAUGCAUCUGAAUUCAAUCGCAUCUGCAUGUGACACCGCUAAGGAAAUAUGGGUCAAACUGGAUGUAACCUAUGAAGGUACCAAUCAGGUUAAAGAAUCCAAAAUCAGCAUAAGAGUUCAUGAAUAUUACUGUAACUGUUUAAAAUGGUUCCUAAUGAAUCUAUCUCUAUUAUGUUUACACGCUUUACUGACAUUAUUAAUGAAUUCAAAUCUCUUGGAAAAGUGUAUUCAAAAAUGCAGAAAUGGUUAGAAAAAUUCUUAGGUGCUUACCAAAGAGUUGGGGUCCAACAGUCACUGCCAUCCAGGAAGCUAAGAACUUACGAACACUCAGUCUAGACCAGUUGAUGGGUUCUCUCAUGACCUAUGAGAUAGAGAUGAAGGCCAAUGAGGAAGAUGACAACAAGAAAAGGAAGAACAUUGCCUUCAAGUCCAUUUCCUCACAAAAGGAAGAAGAUGAAGAUCUGCCAAGCAAUGAGGAUAUUGCACUGCUUAGCAAACGAUUCAACAAACUCAUCAGUAAGAGAAAAUUUGGCCGUCGACCAUUCAGAAGGAAUCACUAAAGGGAUGAAGAAAAGAAAGAUCAAAUCAUCUGCUAUGGAUGCCAAAAGCCUGGGCACAUCAAAACUCAUUGUCCAACCUAUCAAAAGAAAAUAGAAAAGGAAAGGACAAAAGCAAGAAGGCUAUGAUAGCUGCUUGGGGUGAAAGCGACAUCGAUAGCUUAGAAGAAGAAUUAAGCGACUCCAACGUUGUUAAUCUCUGUUUGACAAGCAAGGGCAGAGGAAGAAGUGUUCCUUGAGUCACGCUCUCACCAGCUUCGAAAAUGACAAUACCAUCAACCUCUACCUUAUGGCCUUGGAAGAUGAUGAUGAGGUCUGCCUCAGGUCAAAGUCCAAACAAGGGAAAUGAUAUUUCGAUAUUGGAUGCUCCAGACAUUGGAGACAAAUCAAUGUUUUCAACCCUUGCUGGAAAAUAUGGUGGAUAUGUUACCUUUGGCGACAACAAAGGCAAGAUCAUCUGUAUAGGUACCAUUGGUAAAACUCCCUCUACUACUAUUAGAAAAUGUUUUACAUGUUGAUGGAUUAAAGCAUAAUUUACUUAGCAUUAGUCAAUUAUGUGAUAAGGGAAACAGAGUUACUUUUGAAAAAUCUAUAAAAAAUUGGUCUUACCUCCAUUAUGUGAAUUUUAUAAGCCCACAAGUCCACCUAUUAGUUUUGCAAGGUGUCAAGUCUAAUUUCAAAAGUUCAUAGUAUGCCAAGUCCAUUCCCUAGGGUAGGGUAUGGCACCCUUGGGUUUAGCCAUUUUCAUAGGAUUUUAGGGUGCACUUUCCUAUCCUAGAGUAGGGUACCCUAGGGUUUAGGCACUUUUAUAUGGU